UCAAAUAAUAAUAAUAAUAUUAAUAAUAACAGUUACCAAUAUAACUGAGCUAAGCAGGGUUGAGCCUGUUCAGUACCUGGAUGGGAGACCUCCUGGGAAAACUAGGUUGCUGUUGGAA
rnacentral:rRNA from 1 species